CCUACGGGAGGCAGCAGUGAGGAAUAUUGCGCAAUGGAGGAAACUCUGACGCAGCCAUGCCGCGUGCAGGAAGACUGCCCUAUGGGUUGUAAACUGCUUUUAUAUAGGAAGAACUAUAGCUACGUGUAGCUAUUUGACGGUACUAUACGAAUAAGGACCGGCUAACUCCGUGCCAGCAGCCGCGGUAAUACGGAGGGUCCAAGCGUUAUCCGGAUUUAUUGGGUUUAAAGGGUCCGUAGGCGGGUUAUUAAGUCAGUGGUGAAAUCCUACAGCUCAACUGUAGAACUGCCAUUGAAACUGUUAACCUUGAGUAUAAUUGAAGUGGGCGGAAUGUGUCAUGUAGCGGUGAAAUGCUUAGAUAUGACACAGAACACCGAUUGCGAAGGCAGCUCACUAAGUUAUAACUGACGCUGAGGGACGAAAGCGUGGGUAGCGAACAG
rnacentral:rRNA from 1 species